rnacentral:rRNA from 1 species
UACGGAGGGUGCAAGCGUUGACCGGAUUUAUUGGGUUUAAAGGGUGCGUAGGCGGCCUGUUAAGUCAGUGGUGAAAGCCUCCAGCUCAACUGGAGAACUGCCAUUGAUACUGUCAGGCUUGAGUACAGACGAGGUAGGCGGAAUUGAUUGUGUAGCGGUGAAAUGCAUAGAUACAAUCAAGAACACCGAUUGCGUAGGCAGCUUACUAGGCUGUAACUGACGCUGAGGCACGAAAGCGUGGGGAGCGAACAGG